rnacentral:rRNA from 1 species
CUACCAUGCAAGUCGCACGAAACCUUUCGGGGUUAGUGGCGGACGGGUGUAGUAACGCGUAGGAACCUAUCUGGAGGUGGGGGAUAACAUCGGGAAACUGGUGCUAAUACCGCAUGAUGCCUGAGGGCCAAAGGAGAGAUCCGCCAUUGGAGGGGCCUGCGUUCGAUUAGCUAGUUGGUUGGGUAAAGGCUGACCAAGGCGAUGAUCGAUAGCUGGUUUGAGAGGAUGAUCAGCCACACUGGGACUGAGACACGGCCCAGACUCCUACGGG